rnacentral:sRNA from 2 species
GGGGAAGGAUGAGAAGCUUCGACCAAGGUUCGACUCGAGCGAAGCGAGAGAACGUUGCCGCAGGCAAUGGCCCGAAGGCGAGGCGCUUUAGCGCCGAGUAAUCCUUACCCCACCACUG